rnacentral:rRNA from 1 species
CUUACCAGGUCUUGACAUCCAGGUAAAGCUGCGGAGAAGCGGUGUGCCCUAGGGGGAGCUGAGACAGGGGGUGCAUGGUUGUCGUCAGCUCGUGUCGUGAGAUGUUGGGUUAAGUCCCGCAACGAGCGCAACCCUUGCCGGUAGUUACCAACGGGUAGAGCCGGGGACUUUAGCGGGACCGCCGGGGACAACUGGGAGGAAGGGGGGGAGGACGUCAAAUCAUCAUGCCCCUUAUGACCGGGGCUACACACGUGCUACAAUGGCCGAGACAGAGGGAGCGAAGGCGCGAGGCGGGAGCAAUCCCAAAAAACCGGUCACAGUUCGGAUUGGGGCUGCAACCCGCCCCAUGAAGCGGGAGUUGCUAGUAAUCGCGAAUCAGCAUGUCGCGGUGAAUACGUUCCCGGGUCUUGACACACCGAA